GAAUUGGAAACGUGAUCCUCUGAUAAAUGAUAUCAGAAAAAAUUCACAUUUUUAUUGAUGUGAGAUCUCCAUUAGAGAUAUCAAGGUUGAGGUAGAUCCAAACCAAUGUAAAAGUCCUCUCCUUUAUGAGCAUUGCACAAUUGGAUGGUAGAAUAUCACAGAUCUCAUGGAGUUGAUUUAAAUUUAUAAAUAAGUGUCUUCUUUCACUUGUUAUAU
rnacentral:lncRNA from 1 species